UACAGAGGGCUCAACCGUUGUUCGGAUUCAUUGGGCGUAAAGGGUGCGUAGGCGGUCGCGUAAGUCAGGUGUGAAAUCCCGGGGCUCAACCCCGGAACUGCAUUCGAUACUGCCGUGCUUGAGGACUGGAGAGGAGACUGGAAUUUACGGUGUAGCGGUGAAAUGCGUAGAUAUCGUAAGGAAGACCAGUGGCGAAGGCGGGUCUCUGGACAGUUCCUGACGCUGAGGCACGAAGGUCAGGGGAGCAAACGGG
rnacentral:rRNA from 1 species